UACAUUAGCUCAUUUCAUUUUUAAAGAAUCCUCUGAGGUGGGCAGGGAUGGAAUAAAAAGGCCUACCUCAUUGGGCUCGUGUGGGUGAGGAGAACUGAAGAGUCUGAGAGCGCGGCACGAGCCAGAGGCUACGGAAAACACUGCCCUCCUACACUCCACCUUGGAGAGACCCAGAAAAGAACAAGCUUCAUUUGUAAAAAAGGAAAACAACUCAGGCAAUGGGGGUGGCUUAAAGGCACUCUACAGUGUGCAGAUGCCUUCCACUUCUUCCAUCUGCCCUGUCUCUCCAAGAACCCCUAUGGCCCCGGUCUCAGAACAGAGCUGAGUGCAGAAAUGAAAAUCUAUGGCUCUGUGUUCCAAAACGAUGAAGAAUUUCAAGAUGGUGGCAGUGGUAAAAUCUUUCUCCAGGAAAAAUCUGUCCUUGGCCCAAUGUGUAAACACUUGCUGAGGAACUUGGAAUAACUUGCAGUGUCUUGCAGUAUUGUGAAACCAGCAACUUGUUCACAAUUCUUCUGAAUUUCUUGGGAAAUUUGAAGUGGAGUACCUGUACCAACAUGAAAUGACACGAAUUUAAGUGACGCUCAACAACGAAAAGCAAAAAGAACCAAAGAGGAAGCAACUGAAACAACAUCUGGAUGUAUUUAAAAAUAUACAAUGCCUCCAAAAUCAGGUGUCAUUAAUGAAAAUUCUGAAGAAAUGCCACCGGACAUAGCCAACGCACCUACGCUGUUGUUAUUCAUUUCCUGCUUUUCACAGAAAACAAUUUUGUUGCAUGGAAGAUCGUGAACUUCAAAGGGCAGAGGGGAAACUGUCCCUUGGCCUCUACCCCUCCAAGGCCCCACUUUUUUGUCAACACUCCUUGGACGCAGCAGAAGUAUGAACAUAAUAUGGUCCUGAAUGAGGCUGAGUCUUUGGGCGCAGAAGACCCGGGUUAAUAAAAAUAGGAAGGUAAGAAAAGAAAAGAAAAAUCAAGACACAUCAUAGGACUAAAUUCCUAUUAUUUAUCCACUCAGGAUUGACCACCCCUUUGGGCCAGAUAGUUGUACCCCCAUGUACCAGGUGGGCACAUGAAGACACAAGAAGUGCUGUGAUGGUUCAUUUUGCACGUCACCUUGCGUGGAGUAUGCCAACUCAUUGUUUGGUCAAACACUAGUCUGGACAUGGUGGUAAAGGUAUUUUUUAGAUGAGAUUAACACUUAAAUCAGUAAAGCAGGUUACCCACCAUACUACGGGUGGGCCCUGUCCAAUCAGUUGAAGGCAUUAAGAACAAAGAUUGAGGUUUCCUAAAGAAGAUGGAAUUCUCCUUGAGACUACAACAUAGAAACCCUAUCUGAGUUUCCAGCCUGUUGCCCUGUGGAAUUCAAACUCAGGACUCCGGUCUAUGACAUUAACCCUCACUUAACUUUUCAGCCUGCCAGCCUGCCCUAUGGAUUUCGGACUUGCCAGCCACACAAUUCCUUAAAAUAAAUCUCUCCGUC
ensembl:lncRNA DRAIC downregulated RNA in cancer, inhibitor of cell invasion and migration